UACGUAGGUAGCGAGCGUUAUUCGGAUUUACUGGGCGUAAAGGGUCCGCAGGGGGCCCGCCAAGUCUGAUGUGAAAGCCUACGGCUCAACCGUGGAAGGGCAUCGGAUACUGGCGGGCUAGAGUGCACGAGGGGUAGACGGAAUUUCAGGUGUAGCGGUGGAAUGCGUAGAUAUCUGAAAGAACACCGAUGGCGAAAGCGGUCUACUGGCGUGUUACUGACCCUCAGGGACGAAAGUGUGGGGAGCAAACAGG
rnacentral:rRNA from 1 species